rnacentral:lncRNA from 1 species
GUUGUCUACAAAUAGGCCAGCACAUGUCGCAUUUUCAGAUCGGCCUCCUCAAGUACCUUUGGCUGAUUGAUGGUCAGCAGUGAAAGAAAGCCAUUAAAGUUGGUGGUUCAGGUUCAGAGUGACCCAUAUCACAGGUCAGUUUUCUCAGCCAUGGAGGUCUCAGCUCAGGUCAGGUAUAUUGGACAUGCAUGAUAGUAUGUAUUGUGGAUGAAUUUAUUAGGUGUCCCGGCCAUGAGAUGAGGAUGAUAGUGACAGAUGAUUGUGCUCAAAGUAUGAGGAAAAUUGGUUGCACACUGUAUCACCAAACAAUGGAUGUUUCCUAAUUGGACCUCCUUCGCAACGCU